GGGGUGUAGCUCAGUUGGUAGAGCAAAGCACUUUUAAUGCUUAGGUCUCGGGUUCGAGCCCCGACA
rnacentral:tRNA from 1 species